AAGAGUGUUUUGUUUUAUCGGAACUGCUGUGUCAAUAAUUUAUUUGCAUUUAGUUUAUUUUACUAUCGUACCGAAAAAGUAGUUCCGGUUGCAUCCGUUGAAAAAUUUUCUCCAAAAAAUCGAAAAUACUUUCUUCGAAAUCAAAAAUAUAAAGUUUGGUGGGAAGGAAACAAGGGAAAAACUAUUCCUUAUUGAAUGCUUACAUCCUCCUUUUGGGCAGUAAUGAUUCUGAUAUUGCAAAGCAAAAGAGUGAAAAGCGCUUAUAAUAUCCUAACACGAGAAGUUUGAGUUUUUCAUUCAGCUUUCAGGAAAAGGGAAUUACGAAAAAGCAGAAAGAGUAAAUUUCAGAAGAGCAAUUCCGUUAAGUUCAGACAGUGAAACAAGUGACGAGCUAGAAGAAACUG